UGUGUUGCCAUCAUGCCCUUAGGGGUGAUGGGGACUCACAGGAGAUGCCAGUCGGGGUCAACUCGGAGGAAGUUGGGGAGGACGUCAAAUCAUCACCCUUAUGUUUUGGGCUGCACACGUCCUGCAAUGACCGGUGCAAUGAGCUGUGAUGCCGCGAGGCGGAGCGAAUCUCAAAAAGCCGGUCUCAGUUCGGAUUGGGG
rnacentral:rRNA from 1 species